rnacentral:lncRNA from 10 species
CUUGACUCCUUUCUGCUUAAUAAUUUGAAAAUCAAAACUUAAUUGGUCAUAUCAUCAAAAAUAUUAUGUUAAGUGACAUAAGCCAGGCAAAAAGACAAACACGAAGAAUUUUUAAAAGUCCAUUUCAUAGAAAUAGCAGAAUCGUGGUUAUCAUGGGCUAGGCAGGGGAAGGGAGCAGGGCCAAUGAAGAGAGGUUGCUCAACAGGUACAUAAUUACAGUUAGUAGAAGGAAUAAGUUCUAGUGUUCUAUAUAUUUUAAUUUUAUUUUUUUAUUUUUUUUGAGACAGGGUCUUGCUCUGCCACCCAGGCUGGAGUGCAGUGGCACAAUUAUAGCCCACUGCAGCCUUGGCUUCCUGAGCUCAAGAGAUCCUCCCACCUUAGCCUCCCAAGUAACUGGGACUACAGUUUCAGGUAUGUCUUUAUCAGCAGUAUGAAAAUGGACUGAUACACAUGCCAUACCUAUAUUUCUGACUUACAAAAGCAUGAGCUAAUAAACAUGUGCUGUUUUAAACUGCUACGUUCAUGCUUCCUCUCAGUAUCUGAUGACAAUGAGAAAUGCAUUUGAAGAGAUAAACACUUCCCGAAAGACCAUCAUGAUAGGAGCUGAUACUCACAGAUGCCUUAGUGAAUGAUUACGUCUCAGGAUGCCAUAAGGAAUACACAGAAGGGUACAAUCUCAAGCCUGUGAGUAAUUUUAUGUUCUAAUCCUAUUACGUCCGGAAUAAAAAAUGCUGUGACGGUAAAAACUCUAGUCUGGAAAUGGUUGCUACUUCAGCUCUUGUUGUUCCUCAUUCAAAUAGUUUACGUUUCCUGCCUUUGUGUGUGACACAUGUAUCAUCAAAGCAGCAAAAACCAACUCCCCUUUUCUGCACUGUUUAUACAACGCAUCCCUUAAGCAUAUAAUAUCACAGGACACAACUUUUCUCUAAGUACAGUGUGUUAUAUAUAAAUAUAUAUUUAUUUAUAUAUUUUUUCUUCAUAUGUAUGAAUAUAUAUAUAUAUUCAUAUAUAUGUAGGAAUCUUUUCUCUAAGCUCUUGCUAAUAAACCAAGUACAGCUCUCUUACUUCAAACAUUAUAAUCCAGCUCAUCUUAUUUCUUAUAGGCUUCAUGCCUUUCUCAUUUCUAAAUACUUUUUUUUCUACUGAAUAGUUUGUUUAUUUACUUGAGGAUGGAGGGAAUUACAUAAGGGAAUUACAGCCAAUGACUUAUUUCUUGCUCUAGAAAUAAAUUACAUUUAUAUACUCUCUAUAGAUUAAAUUAUAGCUACUUUCUCCGUGGGUACGCUCAUCUUUUUAGGGAGU